UGAGCAAUCUGCCCUUCUCAUCGGAAUAAGCGUUGGAAACGACGUCUAAUGCCGAAUACGACCUCCUUUCGCAUGAUCGAAGGUGGAAAGCUCCGGCGGAGAAGGAUGAGCUCGCGGCCUAUCAGCUAGUUGGUGUGGGUAAUGGCCCACCAAGGCGACGACGGGUAGCCGGCCUGAGAGGGUGACCGGCCACACGUGGGACUGAGACACGGCCCAGACCUCCGUACGGGAGCAG
rnacentral:rRNA from 1 species